UCCGCUGUAGCUCAGUUGGUAGCAGCAUCUGACUGUUAAUCAGAGGGUCACAGGUUCGAGUCCUGUCAGCGGAG
rnacentral:tRNA from 1 species